rfam:Caulobacteraceae bacterium OTSz_A_272, complete genome.
CGCAGGCAGGCGGCGGACGGCCGCCCCGCCAACCCGGUCAGAUCCGGAAGGAAGCAGCCGUAACGGGUUGCGUACGGGUCGCUGUCCUGUCUGCACUU